rnacentral:rRNA from 1 species
UACGUAGGGUGCAAGCGUUGUCCGGAAUUAUUGGGCGUAAAGGGCUCGUAGGCGGUUUGUCGCGUCGGGAGUGAAAACUCAGGGCUUAACCCUGAGCCUGCUUCCGAUACGGGCAGACUAGAGGUAUGCAGGGGAGAAUGGAAUUCCUGGUGUAGCGGUGAAAUGCGCAGAUAUCAGGAGGAACACCGGUGGCGAAGGCGGGUCUCUGGGCAGUAACUGACGCUGAGGUGCGAAAGCGUGGGGAGCAAACAGG